UCCUGGCACUGGGGAGAACUUUCACCACAGCGAUGGAGCUAGUCUGUGAUUCUGCUUGAAAAGCCACCUGCUGGGUGGUUUGUCUACUCUCAGUCGGGCACCCUCACGCACCUGCAGUGGAGACAGGGUCUUGCUCUGUUGCCCAGACUGGACUAGAACUCCUGAGCUCAAGUAAUCCUCCUGUUAACAGACCAAAACUGAGAGUAAACCACCUAUGCUCAUGUGCCAGUAACAAGAUGCAGAUGAACUGGGAGAGAACGGAGUUUUUAUUUCUGUAACCAGUUACAGAGAGAAGGCCUGGAAAUUAUCACCAGAACAACUCAAAAUUACAGCGUUUUCCAGAACUUGUAUACCUUCUAAGCUCUAUGCCUACGCGUAAGUGUGCAUUCAUCUAAAGACAUUACCUGCCUCCUUCAUUGUCCUGUACCCAGCUCAGACCAGAUGGCGCAAAGACCUCAUGACUGUUGCAUUUUCAGUGUGGAAGA